CCCUUAGAUGUUCUGGGCUGCACGCGUGCUACACUGAUAUUGCCAAUAUGUCAUUCUUAUCCGAAAUGGAUUGGGUAAUCAAGUAAUGAAAUUUCAUGCUUGGAAUCGGUAAUUGCAAUUUUAUCGUGAACGAGGAAUUCCUAGUAAGCACUAGUCAUCAGCUAAUGUUGAUUAUGUCCCUGCCCUUUGUACACACCGCCCGUCGCUACUACCGAUUGAACGGUUUAGUGAGGGCCUCGGAUUGGUCUCGGCCCGCUCUUUACCGGGCGGUGCCGUUGGUCGAGAAGACGCUCGAACUUGAUCGUUUAGAGGAAGUAAAAGUCGUAACA
rnacentral:rRNA from 1 species